rnacentral:lncRNA from 1 species
AUGAAACUGAAGAAAUGUGAAGAAACAAUGAACAAUGUGUUGCUUCCACCAAAGCUGCAUCACAGAUAAUUUAUCAGCUAAAAAACUGUGCUCUUAAUAACAGGGGAGUGACAGCUAGGGUAGAACACACUGUACUGUUUCUCAUGCUGUUAUUCCAACAAGAAUGCUGGCUGCAGCCAAAAUAUACACAAAAAUAAAGGAAAUGAAAGGCAGCAGACUACAACUACAAUGGGUGAAUCUAGCAAGAUUUUGAGGUAGAUUGUCAUGAAGCAGAAACUGUUGAUUCCUAAAAGCACUGACCAAAGCAAACUGUUCAUUUUUGCCAAUCGAGAGAAACUAGGAUGAUACAGAGACACAUCAAUUGCCAGCCUACUUUGCUUCCCAUGUUCCACCCAAGUAAUCCUGCUUUGAUCACCUGUGUGUAUGUUUUGAUGAGUAAGUGUGGGAGUAUGGGAGUGAUAGAGGGUAAAGCCAUAGCCUAAGAGGAUUAAAUAAAAUUAAACUCUCCCUCUGUUGAGUUAGAAAUUUAAGAAGAAAUAUAAUUACUUUGCUAGAAAAUGAAAAUGUGGGGAUUUAUCUUUUUGUUUGUCUGUUUUUCAACAGGGUACUUCAUAUGAUAGCAAUCCCUGCCACCAGGAUGGAUCACAGAGUGGUAGCCAGAGUGGAUCAUACACCUCACAAAACUAUGGUGGUAGCCAGCAGAGUGGAUCAUCAUCCUCACAAAAUUAUGGUGGUGGUCGGGGUGGUUCAUCCUCACAAAACUAUGGUGGCAGCCAAGUAAGUAAUGAUUUAUUUCUCUAUUCAUACAUUAUUUUACACAAGCCUUAGCCCCUGCUCAAAAUUAGCUUUUCUGGUUGCUGAUUUUAUCUGAUUUUUGAUUGUUUGAUUUGUUUUAAAGGGUGGAUCGGGUGGAUCCUCUUCUCAAAACUAUUAUGGCGGUCAAGUAAGUAAUGCUUUAUUUCAGCAAUUAUACAUCACUUCAUACAAGCUUUAGCCUCUGCUCAAAAUUGGGUUUUCUGUUUGCUAGUUUUCUCUGUUUUU